AUCGUGUGAUUUCAGCCUUAGGCUGAAACCUACCAAAGAGGAACUAUAAUUAUUUGACACAUUCAUGCUUCGCAAAUAUAGACCUUUCGAAAGAGGAUAUUUUUGCGGACAAUUUUGGCUAUUUAUUUAGAGGUGCAGUAGAAGAAGUGACUAAUGAUAACGUUAGUGAAAAUAAUGAAUCUUGCUCGUCUGUUGCAAAGAAGAAAACUCGAAACAAGGAGGAUAAAGCUUGGGCUGACUACGAUGAAUCAUUAAUAAAUGCUGUUAUGAAAAGGCCUUGUCUAUGGAAUCACACUAUCCCUGUGAAACAGAGAAGCCCGUUAACUGUGAAAGAUGCAUGGCUUGAAGUUAAAAGGGAAUUAGACGAUACGUAUGUUCGAAGUAGAAAAAUUAAAAAAGCGAUGGCGAAAUCUUCGUGAUUCUUAUAAAAAAGCAAAAAACAAGAUGACCGAAUAUAUACCAAGUGGUUCGGAAGCACCACUUGUGGAGAACAAAAAAGAUGGAUUUUGGUAUUACGACCAAAUGACAUUUUUAAACGAUACAAUGAUUUCCAGGCCUUCUAUAAGUAACGUUUCAAACACACCACAUGUUCUCGAUUCCAACUCCAACAUACGUGCAAUAGAAAUUGAAGAAAAUAAGGAUGGAGAUAUAUUGGAAAGCUCUAGUAUAUCUAAUUUUACAAGCUUUUCUGAGCAUACUAAACGUAAAUAGAUAGUUUUAAUUACUUUGGUGUAACUUUUAUCUAAAACUGAAUUAUUUUUAUUAUUAAUUACUUCGAUUAUGAUGUACGUAUAUAAUAUAAUGUAUAUAAUAAAUUAUUUCACACAUAGCACGUAAUAUUUCUGUGAUAUCACAGAAUCAUUGCAAUAUCACAGAAAUAUUACAUAUUACUGUGAAAUAUCACAGAAAUAUUACUGUGAUAUUACACAAUGAUAAUGACAUUGAAAUAUUCCAAUGAUAUCAUUGCAAUAUAUUGU
rnacentral:lncRNA from 13 species